CCAUGCAUGUCUAAGAAUAAACCCUAGAACGGUGAAUCUGCGAAUGGCUCNUUAAACCAGUUAUUGUUUAUUUGAUGGUGCCUUGCAUUUCCUUUCGGGGGGAUGACGAGGCUUGCUUCUUGCUACAUGGAUAACCGUAGUAAUUCUAGAGCUAAUACNUGCNCCGAGCCCCGACUAGGGCAACCUGGGAGGGGUGCAUUUAUUAGAUUCCAGCCAUUGCGUUUUGUCUCUUUCGGGGGGCAAGGCGUUGCGGACACGCNUUUUAAAUGGUGAGUCAUAAUAACUGAGCGAAUCGAAUGGCCUUGAGCCGUCGAUGCUUCAUUCAAAUUUCUGCCCUAUCAGCUGUCGAUGUUACGGUCUUGGCGUAACAUGGCGAUAACGGGUAACGGGGAAUUAGGGUUCGAUUCCGGAGAGGGAGCUUGAGAAACGGCUACCACAUCCAAGGAUGGCAGCAGGCGCGCAAAUUACCCAAUCCCGACACGGGGAGGUAGUGACAAUAAAUAACAAUGGUGGGGUGUUCAUUUGCUCCGCCAAUUGGAAUGAGAGGAUGCUAAAGCUAUCUUCGAGGAGCCAUUAGAGGGCAAGUCUGGUGCCAGCAGCCGCGGUAAUUCCAGCUCUAAUAGCGUAUAUUAAAGUUGUUGCAGUUAAAAAGCUCGUAGUCUGAACUCUUAUGUGGGGUGCUUGGAUCGUUUGUGGGAGGCUGGACUUGAUUGUCUGCUUCCUGCCGCCCGCCUCACGCAGUCUGGGUCGAUUCAUUUCGAACCUGGAUUGUACUUCGGAGAACCGCCUCUGGAGGGGCAACUCUCUAGGGGAUCAAAUGGGAUUCCGAUAGUUUACUUUGAGAAAAAUGGAGUGUUCAAAGCAGGCGGAUUCAAAUCGCUCGAUGAACAACUUAGCAUGGGAUAAUGGAAGAGGACAUUGGUUCCGAUUGCUCCCUUUGGGUUUUCGGAUUCAGGGGGGGCAUCAGCCGUGUUCGCAAGCCAAUAAUGGUGUGGGACCGAUGUAAUGAUUAAUAGGAACAGUUGGGGUGAUUCAUAUUCCGUGGCUAGAGGUGAAAUUCUUGGAUUCACGGAAGAUGCACUGCUGCGAAAGCGUCUCGCCAGGAUGUUUUCGUUGAUCAAGAACGAAAGUCAGGGGAGCAAAGAUGAUUAGAAACCGUUGUAGUCCUAGACCGUAAACGAUGCCGACUCGGGAUUGGAAGGCGCUGAAUCAAGGGCGGGAAAAAGGGUGUGUUUGGGCUGUUUUCGGACAGUUCCAAGCCGCUCCCCCGUCUUGUAUGGCCCUUCCAGCACCGCUCUUCAUUUAAAGGGAAACCAAAGUGCAUGGGUUCCGGGGGGAGUAUGGUCGCAAGGCUGAAACUUAAAGGAAUAGACGGAAGGGCACCACAACAGGCGUGGAGCAUGCGGCCCAACGCGACUCAACCCGGCGAAGCUCACCAGGCCCAGACAUGGCGAGGAUUGACAGAUUGAGAGCUCUUUCUUGAUUCCAUGAAAGGUGGCGCAUGGCCGUUCGUAGUUGGUGGAGUGAUUUGUCUGGUUGAUUCCGAUAACGAACGAGACCUUGGCGGGGAUGGCUGGGGGAGUGAAUCGUUUCAUUACGAUUCGCUUAAUUCAAACCCCUCCUGCCCGGACGUUCUGUGUUGCAGCAGACGGAAGUGCGAGGCAAUAACAGGUCUGUGAUGCCCUUAGAUGUCCUGGGCUGCACGCGUGCUACACUGACUGGUUCAGCGAGUUUUAUUCGGGAGGUGGCUCUUUCGGGGGCUCCUCCUAUUCCUUGGCAGAGAUGCCUGGGUAAUCUUCUAAAUGCCAGUCGUGAUGGGGAUAGACGCUUGUAAUUAUUCGUCUUGAACGAGGAAUCCUUAGUAAGUGUUCGUCAUCAGCGAGCGCCGACUGUGUCCCUGCCCUUUNUACUCACCGCCCGUCGCUUCUACCGAUUGAAUGGUCCGGUGAGAAUGUCGGAGCGAGCGUUCUGGCAAUGCUUUCGGGUGUUGUCGCGAACUNCUUGCAAAGUCAUUCAAACCUUACCAUUUAGAGGAAGAAGAAGUNGUAACAAGGUUUCCGUAGG
rnacentral:rRNA from 1 species